GUUCAGACUCCAUGUUGAGUGGACAGAGCAGAAGGAGGUAAACUGAAGGCUGAGGCAGGACUGACUUCAGAUCAGAAGAUGAGUAAUCGUGUGGAGGAAGAGGAGGACAGAGCAGAGUCUCUAGUCUCCGGCUGUCUGUCUAUGAAGAGUGACACGUCCAAAGGUCUUCCUCUAUUCUUCAGUAAUGAACCUGGACCCUCAGACACAAAAGUUCAGUACAGACAGAGAGCAGAGUCUCCAGUAUCCAGCUGUCUGUCUAUGAAGAGUGAUUGGUCCAAAGAGCAUCCUCCAGACUUCAGUAAUGAACCUGGACCCUCAGACACAAAGUAAGAGACUGUUUUUACUGUGAGCUGACCUGAUGAAGAUGAUGCAUUGAGGAUGAAGACAAAAUAUUCUGCUCAAAGAUUUAUAUUGCUGAUGCAGAACUAUUAGUGCAGAUACUGUUUCAGACUAAGAUGAUCUUAGUCUGGGUUUUAUAGCCACAAACUACUGAUGUUUUUCUCUGGAGCAAAACACCUGAGAACCUCCAUUUCAGAAUUUACUCUUCAAGAAAAUACUCAUAUAUUUCUGCCCAAACUUUAUAGUCACUGUUCAUAAUGUGGGAGAAUGUGCUUCAAAUGUUUAAUUCAUGCUGUCAUAUUUGACUCAAAUCAGCUGUUCAGACCUACCAGGUGCUUCUUGAAUCAGUGCACAUCAUAACUGUGCAACAUGUGGUGAAAAAGCAUUUGUAGAAAAGCUUUGCUCACUUUGAUUCUGUGUGUUGAUGUUUGAGUUUGUUCUUUAAAUAACUACUAAAAAUGAAGCUCAAAGGUUUAUUUCCUAGUGGUUCAGAGCUUUCAGCUGAAAGCUUUAAAUCAUUAGUAAGUGGACCUUUGAGUUUAGAUUCUCUCCUCCAUAUAUUGUUCCUGAAGGUCAAGAACAAACA